AAGUCGAGCGGCAAGCCGUAGCAAUACGGCCUAGAGCGGCGGACUGGUGAGUAACGCGUGGGUGACCUGCCCUGAGGUUGGGGAUAGCCGCUAGAAAUAGCGGGUAAUACCGAAUAUGGUUGCGUGACUAUGGUUAUGCAAAGAAAGGAGCUCCGGCUUCGCCUUAGGAUGGGCCCGCGUCCCAUUAGGUAGUUGGAGUGGUAAAGGCGCACCAAGCCUGAGAUGGGUAGCCGGCCUGAGAGGGUGAACGGCCACACUGGGACUGAGAUACGGCCCAGACUCCUACGGGAGGCAGCAGCUAAGAAUAUUCCGCAAUGGACGAAAGUCUGACGGAGCGACGCCGCGUGGAUGAGGAAGGCCGAAAGGUUGUAAAAUCCUUUUGUUGCUGAAGAAUAAGCGGGGGAGGGAAUGCCCUCGUGAUGACGCUAGGCAAUGAAUAAGCCCCGGCUAAUUACGUGCCAGCAGCCGCGGUAACACGUAAGGGGCGAGCGUUGUUCGGAAUUAUUGGGCGUAAAGGGCGCGUAGGCGGUUAGGCAAGCCUGGCGUGAAAUGGCAGGGCUCAACCCUGUCACGGCGCUGGGAACUGGUUGACUUGAGUCAUGGAGGGGGAGUUGGAAUUCCGCGUGUAGGGGUGAAAUCUGUAGAUAUGCGGAAGAACACCGGUGGCGAAGGCGAAC
rnacentral:rRNA from 1 species